GAUGAACGCUGGCGGCGUGCCUAACACAUGCAAGUCGAACGGAGAUUACGGACGGAAGUUUUCGGAUGGAAGCCUGUAAUUCUUAGUGGCGGACGGGUGAGUAACGCGUGGGCAACCUGCCCUAUACAGGGGGAUAGCAGCUGGAAACGGCUGGUAAGACCGCAUAAGUCGGUUAAAUCGCAUGAUUUGAUCGGGAAAUGAGCAAUCAGGUAUAGGAUGGGCCCGCGUCCGAUUAGCCAGUUGGCAGGGUAAAAGCCUACCAAAGCGACGAUCGGUAGCCGGACUGAGAGGUCGGACGGCCACAUUGGGACUGAGAAACGGCCCAAACUCCUACGGGAGGCAGCAGUGGGGGAUAUUGCACAAUGGAGGAAACUCUGAUGCAGCGACGCCGCGUGAGUGAAGAAGUAUUUCGGUAUGUAAAGCUCUAUCAGCAGGGAAGAUGAUGACGGUACCUGACUAAGAAGCCCCGGCUAACUACGUG
rnacentral:rRNA from 1 species